AGUGAACGCUGGCGGUAGGCCUAACACAUGCAAGUCGAACGGCAGCACUGUAAGAGCUUGCUCUUACGGGUGGCGAGUGGCGGACGGGUGAGGAAUACAUCGGAAUCUACUUUUUCGUGGGGGAUAACGUAGGGAAACUUGCGCUAAUACCGCAUACGACCUACGGGUGAAAGCAGGGGAUCUUCGGACCUUGCGCGAUUGAAUGAGCCGAUGUCGGAUUAGCUAGUUGGCGGGGUAAAGGCCCACCAAGGCGACGAUCCGUAGCUGGUCUGAGAGGAUGAUCAGCCACACUGGAACUGAGACACGGUCCAGACUCCUACGGGAGGCAGCAGUGGGGAAUAUUGGACAAUGGGCGCAAGCCUGAUCCAGCCAUACCGCGUGGGUGAAGAAGGCCUUCGGGUUGUAAAGCCCUUUUGUUGGGAAAGAAAAGCAGCAGGUUAAUACCCCGCUGUUCUGACGGUACCCAAAGAAUAAGCACCGGCUAACUUCGUG
rnacentral:rRNA from 1 species